rnacentral:lncRNA from 1 species
UGGUGGACUUGAAACUUUCAGAGAUGUUUGCAGAACUUUUGCAAAAGAAUGACAUGCAAACUCGUCCAAAGAGAUUUACUGCUUGGUGGGCUCGAGAUUUACUGCACUUGCAGGUGUCGAUUCUAAGAAGUCAAGAGAGACGAGCAUCAAACUGCUCUUGAUGCUUACUUGCAAGAAAUCAAGAUCGUUUUGCAACGAACUUGCUGCUAUUAAUUCAUCAUCCUGUAAAUGAUAGCAAUAAUAAGGUAUAUUGGUCAUAUGCUAUGCAAUCUGUCAAAAAGAAUUCUUCGCUAUUCUUGAUUUCGAAAUUAAAUACAUUUACUAAACAUGAAUAUUCUGAUACCAUUUAUCGAUUUUGUGCGUGUCAGCCAUGCUAAUUCUUUGCCCUCUCCGGAGUAUACGUUUAAUGGAGAUAAUGUGGUUUGGG